rnacentral:rRNA from 1 species
GAUGAACGCUGGCGGCGUGCCUAAUACAUGCAAGUCGAGCGAACGGACGAGAAGCUUGCUUCUCUGAUGUUAGCGGCGGACGGGAGAGUAACACGUGGAUAACCUACCUAUAAGACUGGGAUAACUUCGGGAAACCGGAGCUAAUACCGGAUAAUAUUUUGAACCGCAGGGUUCAAAAGUGAAAGACGGUCUUGCUGUCACUUAUAGAUGGAUCCGCGCUGCAUUAGCUAGUUGGUAAGGUAACGGCUUACCAAGGCAACGGUGCAUAGCCGACCUGAGAGGGUGAUCGGCCACACUGGAACUGAGACACGGUCCAGGCUCCUACGGGCGGCAGCAGUAGGGAAUCUUCCGCACUGGGCGAAAGCCUGACGGAGCAACGCCGCGUGAGUGAUGAAGGUCUUCGGGUCGUAUGACUCUGUUCUUAGGGAAGAACAUAUGUGUAAGUAACUGUGCACAUCUUGACGGUACCUAAUCAGAAAGCCACGGCUAACUACGUG